UGGGGAAUAUUGGACAAUGGGGGCAACCCUGAUCCAGCAAUGCCGCGUGUGUGAAGAAGGUUUUCGGAUUGUAAAGCACUUUCGACGGGGACGAUGAUGACGGUACCCGUAGAAGAAGCCCCGGCUAACUUCGUGCCAGCAGCCGCGGUAAUACGAAGGGGGCUAGCGUUGCUCGGAAUGACUGGGCGUAAAGGGCGUGUAGGCGGUUUGUACAGUCAGAUGUGAAAAUCCCCGGGCUUAACCUGGGAGCUGCAUUUGAUACGUGCAGACUAGAGUGUGAGAGAGGGUUGUGGAAUUCCCAGUGUAGAGGUGAAAUUCGUAGAUAUUGGGAAGAACACCGGUGGCGAAGGCGGCAACCUGGCUCAUAACUGACGCUGAGGCGCGAAAGCGUGGGGAGCAAACAGGAUUAGAUACCCUGGUAGUCCACGCUGUAAACGAUGUGUGCUAGAUGUUGGGUAACUUAGUUAUUCAGUGUCGCAGUUAACGCGUUAAGCACACCGCCUGGGGAGUACGGCCGCAAGGUUGA
rnacentral:rRNA from 1 species